rnacentral:rRNA from 1 species
AUUGAACGCUGGCGGCAUGCUUUACACAUGCAAGUCGAACGGCAGCGGGGUAGUGCUUGCACUACUGCCGGCGAGUGGCGAACGGGUGAGUAAUAUAUCGGAACGUACCGAGUAAUGGGGGAUAACCAAUCGAAAGAUUGGCUAAUACCGCAUACGUCCUGAGGGAGAAAGCGGGGGAUCGCAAGACCUCGCGUUAUUCGAGCGGCCGAUAACUGAUUAGCUAGUUGGUGGGGUAAAGGCCUACCAAGGCGACGAUCAGUAGCGGGUCUGAGAGGACGAUCCGCCACACUGGGACUGAGACACGGCCCAGACUCCUACGGGAGGCAGCAGUGGGGAAUUUUGGACAAUGGGGGCAACCCUGACCCAGCCAUGCCGCGUGUAUGAAGAAGGCCUUCGGGUUGUAAAGUACUUUUGUUAGGGAAGAAAGGGGAAGUGCUAAUACCACUUUUUGCUGACGGUACCUAAAGAAUAAGCACCGGCUAACUACGUG